AACGAACGCUGGCGGCAUGCCUAACACAUGCAAGUCGAACGAGACCUUCGGGUCUAGUGGCACACGGGUGCGUAACGCGUGGGAACCUGCCCUUAGGUUCGGAAUAACUCCCCGAAAGGGGUGCUAAUACCGGAUAAUGUCUUCGGACCAAAGAUUUAUCGCCUUUGGAUGGGCCCGCGUUGGAUUAGCUAGUUGGUAGGGUAAAAGCCUACCAAGGCGACGAUCCAUAGCUGGUCUGAGAGGAUGAUCAGCCACACUGGGACUGAGACACGGCCCAGACUCCUACGGGAGGCAGCAGUGGGGAAUAUUGGACAAUGGGCGAAAGCCUAAUCCAGCAAUGCCGCGUGAGUGAUGAAGGCCUUAGGGUUGUAAAGCUCUUUUACCCGGGAUGAUAAUGACAGUACCGGGAGAAUAAGCUCCGGCUAACUCCGUG
rnacentral:rRNA from 1 species